AGGGGAAGGGAAAGACAGUAGUAUGAUAGUUCCUAUAAUAGCAUUGUAUCAAUACAAUAAUACAGGUAUUCUUGAAAGACGGGACAAUUUCAAACUUUUUAAAAAUAUAUAUUCUCAUAGGACUUAUGUUAACUCCGUCAGACACCUUAAAAGGAAUUACAUUUUUACAUUUAUUGUCCAACAACCUGAUUCUGCAUUGUCAUUAUGGGGUAUUGUGUGCAGAUUGAUGAGAAAAUAUAUAUGUAAUCCAUUUUAGAAUAAGGAUGUAACGUAACAAAAUGUGGAAAAAGACGAGAUUAUGUUUUACGGAGUUGACAAAAAUCCAUUUUUCUUCAUCAUUCAAGUGAUAUACAAGUGAUAUACAAAGUAGAAAUGUUGUUUUCCCUCAGUUGCUUUAUGAUUCCAAAACCUAAUUAAAAUAAACAUAUUUGAACCAAAAUUAAUUCCUAUCUUAAAACCAUUUCAUUGAUUUUUAGUGAGUUAUAUUUCAAAUGAGGAAUACAGUCUAUUGAAAUAAAUUAAUUAGCCCCUAAUCUAUGGAUUUCACAUGACUGGGAAUUGUCCCCAAUUGUGUUCAUUAUUCCUGCCCAUACCUCCGUUCACAAAGUUGACAUCAGCAACCCUCUCGCUGACACAACGCCAUACACAUGGUCUACGGUUGUGAGGCCGGUUGGACGUACUACCAAAUUCUCUAAAAUAACGUUGGAUGUGGCUUAUGGUAGAGAACUGAACAUUAAAUUAUCUUUCAACAGUUGUCGAGGCCCUAAUCCAUGGAUUACACUUGACUGGGCAGGGGUGCAGCCAUGGGUGGACCUGGGAGGGCAUAGGCCCACCCACUGGGGAGCCAGGCCCAGCAAAUCAGUCAAUAACUACAGACAGAAAUACUCCUCAAAAAAUGUUGUUCAGUGUAUAAGGGAGAUGGAGUAUGCGUGCGUGUGUGCGUGCGUGUGUCCGUCCCCUGAGUGAGUUUGAGACUUAGUGUUUGUCCCCCCCCCCACUACCAUUGGUAGCUACCAUUUCUCAGUAAAGUACUAUAUUUAUCCUUAACCACUGAUUCCUUGUCUCUUCUCUGCACCUUGGUCCAACCUCACCACGUCACAAACCAUGGUGAUUUCAAUAUUGUUUGUUUAAUUCUAUAAAAAGUAGAGCACUUUACAGGCCACCUUGUUGCACCACAUGUAAUGAGGACAUGAAGGAUAUUAUGGUGGAGCUGACCCGGCUCAUUCCUGAUUCAUUUAGGAUUUCAGAGUAAUCUGACGGAGGUAACCAACGGCUCUGUUCAAUCUGUCUCGUUGAAGCGUAACAGCUUGCACGCUAGAAAUGAAGGUCAUUUCUGUUUUAGCCGACAUACUGUAUGCAGCGUUUACAGUGAAUGCAGUCUCUGCUAAAGUGAGAACAUUGCCUUUAAAUUUCAAUCAAGUUGUAACACUGAACUUCUGCAUUGAAUAACCUCAACGUCAACAAAACAAAGGAGAUGAUUGUGGACUUCAGGAAACAGCAGAGGGAGCACCCCCCCUAUCCACAUCGACUGGACAGUAGUGGAGAGGGUAGUAAAUUUUAAGUUCCUCGGCAUACACAUCACGGACAAACUGAAUUGGUCCACCCACACAGACAGCGUUGUGAAGAAGGCGCAGCAGCGCCUCUUCAACCUCAGGAGGCUGAAGAAAUUCAGCUUGUCACCAAAAGCACUCACAAACUUCUACAGAUGCACAAUCGAUCGAGAGCUUCCUGUCGGGCUGUAUCACUGCCUGGUAUGGCAACUGCUCCGCCCACAACCGUAAGGCUCUCCAGAGGGUAGUGAGGUCUGCACAACGCAUCACCGGGGGCAAACUACCUGCGUUCCAGGACACCUACACCACCCGAUGUCACAGGAAGGCCAUAAAGAUAAUCAAGGACAACAACCACCCGAGCCACUGCCUGUUCACCCCGCUAUCAUCCAGAAGGCGAGUCUGCAAUGUUGGCUGGGGGGAUACACUGCUCCAGGAACAGAUCAUCCUCCUCAGAACAGAAUUCCAUGUCUUCCGGGGGCCACCGUAACUCGCCACUCUCCACUUCGCUCAUGUCCGUGGGCUCCACCAUGAUGGAGGGAAGCCGCUCCUUCUCUGAGGGACUGAACUGCUGCAGGUGAUUGGGAGAGCCUUCUGGACUCAGAGACACCUCCACUGGUUCUGGGAAGAUCUGUAGGCAGAGGGAGGGUCCACAGAAAAGCCCCCCGAGGAUUAAAAAGAACUGAAGUUCUGUCUCCCCAUUCUCACUGCUCCUCCCAGUGAAAGUCUGGUAUUAUGGCCUUCUGUCACAGUGGCCAUCACUCACUCCUGUUGACAUGCCUUUUGUUUUAAUGAGGCUGGGCUGUAAGAGUCUCAAAGCGGCAGAACAACUGUGUAAACCACUUUUACAUUCAUGUCCAGUUUUCUGUGAAAUUUGUUUCAGCUUAUAAAAUAGCAUGUUUUUGACCCAAUUUAUUUUAUCAUAUGUUAUUGACUGUGCUGUGUGCAUGGAUAAGCUGUUUGUGUGUCAUCUGUGAUGGAAAAUGUUCAGCUGGCUAAGCCUAGAUGUAAUCUCCUCCCUUGCUCCUGAACAUUCCUCUGCCAGCCUGUCAGUAAGAAGCUAACAUGGUCACUCACUUCAUGGUAGCGCAGGAGGAUUGUGGGCAGGAAACGGGGACAAAUCACAAUGUGUAAACUGAUGACAGACCACAGAUAACACAAAUAUGUUCAUCUCCACCACUGAUUCACUCACCCAUACACCAAUUUGACACUCUACUUCCCCAAACCCACACUUUCUUUACACUUUGCCACUGGUGCUUUCGUAGUAGAGUGUAGAAAUUAUACUAUGAGGUCCUGACACAGGUCAACAUCUCCAUAACAGUCAUUAUCAAUUGUAACUAGAGCAUCACUGCACACCUGUGUGAUCCACACACACAAUCAGAGAGG